rnacentral:tRNA from 2 species
GGAGAGGUGCCCGGAGCGGCUCAUCGGGGACCGGGAAAACCGGUCUGGCUCACGCCAACGCAGGUUCGAAUCCUGCCCUCUCCG